UCGAACUGGUUCAGGAAUUUUGUUUUUUUCGCAUUUUCGGUGCGUGAAUGUUCGUGGUCUUUGUAGAAGCAUCCAAAGGAAUCUGUUGUUUUAUUCUAGCGCGUCAUCGCGUCGAUAUUCGUUUCGCUUUUUGCUCAGUGUGGAAAGGCCUUAAGACAUCUAAUUAUAUAAAUUCCAUACAAAGAUGACAUUUAAGAUAAUUCAGACCUCUUACAGAUGCUCCUGGAUCACCAGGCGGUCCAGGUAUACCCAUCGGCCCUCUAUCCCCAGGAAGUCCGGCUGCACCAGGAAGCCCACCAUCUCCAGUCUUCUGGUUUGGGCUCCACAUACUCAAAAGGACCUGGUUCACCCUGAUCCCCCUGUUCCCCCUUGAUCUUCCUGGGUCUCCCUAUGGACAACAGAACAAAAUAUCAUUCAAGAACAUUUAAAACAAUCAAAAACGGCUUCAUAUUAUGCACAGCCAUCCUUCCCUGGAAGCCCAGGAAGACCACCAGGCCCUGGAUGACCCUGGAAGAUGAAUGCACUCCACCUAAUCCAGCAUAGCCUUCAUCUCCUUGAAAGCCCUAAUACAAAAGAGUGCAACAGAAUGAAAGCCCUUGUAUUGAGUUUUCUAAGAAUUGUGUGUGGGUGAGUGUGUUUUUCUAUGUACUUGGUC